UCCCGUGUAAUCCGGCAGUAAGAUUUGAUAUAUAAACGAAUCAAACCAAAUUUACUAUACCGUUUCGAUCCGAUCCGUUUGCAACCAGCAGCCCUACCAAUGGAAUGUUUCUAUUUUCGAUGGAGGUUUUUCUAUCGACAUUUAAGAAAUUUAGAGCAUUCCAAUCAAUCAAAUGGGUUCCGAAAUCCGAACAUGACUCCAGCUCCAGGAAUUGAACUUCUCUUCAUUUCAUAACUACCCGCGCACCGCUAAGAAAAUGUUGCCAAUGCAUUAAAUUCUUGAUGAAUUCGAGCUUUUCUGGGCAACGGCUCGAGGCCGAACAUGGGCGAGGGGUUGCAAUAAAGAUAUUCCAGGCCAAGAUGACACUCGAAUGCUUCUUUUUUUCAUUUAUUUUGUUUACCUUACUUCUCUUCUCCUCUCAAGUGGGGAGGGAAGACAACACAGCAAGAGAGGCAAGAUUUCUCUCUACGUCUAUGGUUCCUGGUUUCCUCAUUUCCUGGAUAUUCGAUCUCUCUCUCUUUCUCUCUCCCCGUCAUCAUAUUCUUGUCGAGAUAUCCGAUUAGACAGGGUUUUAAAUUGGAUAUGAUUUUCUGUAUUUCAAUCAAUUUUCUCGUCAGUGGGAGUAUCUUCUUUCAGGACGAUAGUGUGAUCAGAAUCGAGAAGUUCUGCUAACAGCAGUAACUUCAAGUUAGUCUACAGUCCAUCGUGGCAGGAUCAUAUGGAGUACCUUCACAACACUCUAACUCUUCUAUGUAAGCACCAGCUUUAUGCGAAAACCAGCAAGUGCUCUUUCGGUCAGACCCAUUUCCAGUACUUAGGCCACAUCAUAGAGGGCGGAAGAGUCUAUACAGACCCAGAAGAAAAAGUCAAGUGCAUGGUUAACUAGGCCGGGGCCCACAUCUCUGAAGUCCUUACAUGGGUUUUUGGAUCUGAUUGGCCUACUACAGGCGGUUUAUUCAGGGAUAUGGCACCCUUGCAGCACCUUUAACACAACCAUUGAAGAAGAAUACGUUUGAGUGGAACCCCCAAGUUGAGCAAGCGUUUCAGUCCCUUGAACAGGUCAUGGUGUGGGUGCUGUAUUGAUGCAAGGAGGUCAGCUGGUCGCUUAUUUCAGCAAGGCUUUGUCACAGCAGGCCCAGUCCAAGUCCAAUUAUGAAAAAGAGUUGAUGGCUACUGUGCUUGCCAUCCAAAAGUGGCGGGCUUUACUUGUUGGGCUGAAGGUUCACAGUCAGGACAGACCACGGAAGCAUCCGACAUCUGUUGGAUCAGCGUAUUCUCAACCUGGAAUAGCAGCGAUGGGCUUACAAACUACUGGGGUAUGAUUUCCAAUAUAGAGUAUAAACCGGAUUCAGCUAACUCAGUGGCUAACACCCUGUCCCGAGGUGCGGAAUUAUUGGGUCUCUCCCAACCUACUUAUCCUCUGCUAUAUCAGAUAAAGGCAGGGGCUCAUCGAGACCCAAUUCUGUCACAGAUCCGCUCCAAGUGGGAACUAUAUCCAGCUUCAGUGCCUGGGUAUACCAUAUGGAUUCUACUCUAUUUUACAAGAGGAGGUUAGUUGUGGCAUCACCCUAUGUUCAUUAUGGGGAUUUGCUACGUAUUUUCCAUGACUCUGCAUUAGGGGGUCAUUCCGGAGUAUUGCAUACCUAGAAGAGGCUGUCCAAUCAUUAUUAUUGGAGAGGAAUGAAGUCCAUGGUCCAAUAGUAUGUGGCCCAAUGCUCCAUCUGCCAGCAACAAAAACAUAGUACUCAACUUCCUGCAGGCCUGUUACAACUUCUCCCCAUACCGGACAGGGUUUGGAACGAAAUAACCAUGGAUUUUAUCACUGGGCUACCUAAGUUUCAAGGGAAAUCUGUUAUACCAGUUGAGGUGGACAGAUUGAGCAAGUAUGCCCAUUUUGUAGCUCUCCCACAUCCGUACACAGCAUGAUGGUGGCCAGAGCCUAUGUUCAGGAGGUAGCCAAGCUACAUGGCACCCCCAACUCUAUACUCACUGAUAGGGACCCAUUGUUCAUGAGUCAUUUCUGGGAAGCUUACUUCCAAGCUCAAGGGGUUUGAAUGUUGCACGCAACUAGUUACCAUAUUCAAACUGAUGGACAGUCUGAAGUGGUCAACCGCUGUCUGGAAACCUAUUUACGGUGUUUCAUAGGUGACAGGCCUGAAUAGUGGACUACAUGGCUCCCAUGGGCUGAAUUCUGGUAUAACACCUCCUUCCAGGUAUCGGCAGGUACUACUCCAUUUAAAAUCCUUUAUGGGCGCGGUCCUCCCAUUGUGUUACCCUAUGAUAAGGGAUCUAUUGUUGUAGCUGAAGUAGAAGAAUAGCUCUCCACUAGAGACAAGGUGCUCAAGGACCUGAAGUUAUACCUGCAGGAAGCCCAACAUCGCAUGAAGCUAUCCUAUGACGAAAAAAAACAGAGAGAAUUGGAGUUUCAGGUUGGAGCCCUUGUUUACCUUAAGCUUCAGCCAUAUAGACAAAUUUCUGUGGCAUCUCAACCCCAGCAGAAACUAGCACCAUGCUACUUUGGACCAUUUAAGGUAGCUGAGAGGGUGGACAGGUGGCCUAUAGGUUGGAUCUACCGGUUGGUUCCAAAUUGCACCCAGUGUUCCAUGUGAGUUUGCUGAAACCAUGCCUAUCCCCUUCAUCCAGAGUUGACAGUUCUCUACCUCAGUUCUCAAACGAAGGGUCUCUCUUGCUGGAACCCCAGUCUGUGCAUGGCUUCAAAUGGGUGACACCUGGUUUUAAAGAAGGUCCAACAAGCUCUGGUUAAGUGGAAGAACCUUCCUGUUGAAGAUCCAACAUGGGAGGACAUCUCAAGACUGCAGCUACAAUUCCCUGACUUCAACCUUGAGGACAAGGUUGAUUCUGAAGCGGGUGGGGUUGAUAGGAUCCUGGACCAGCACAACAGUAUGCAAACAACAACCAAAGCCCAGGCCCAGCAGCCUCCAUGUCUGAUCACCGAAGGCAGCAACUCAGGAAGAGUAUUCCGUGUAGUCCAGCCCAUCAAGUUCGUCUACACCAGGAGGCCGCAUCAGCAUAACUAACUCGACAGUCCCAUGUGCAUGGAGGUAGCUUGACAGUAACCUGUUUUGAUUCAAUAUAAAUAGCAUGAAAAGCCCUAUGAAUGCAUGGAAAAUAUCCGAAUCACUUUUUCUUCUUCAACCUCUCUUCUUCUUCUUCUUCUCUCUACUAUUCCAUUUCAGGAGGAAGAGCUCCCUCGAAGAAGCUCAAUAGAAGUGUUCUUAUCAGCUUCCUUCCGUUCGUAAAGUAUUCCAAGAGAGCAAAAAAAGCAUCCUUUGGCAUUCUUCUACAUUCCACCACAUAUCUUCUCCCUGAUUCUACUAGUCUCUCCUUCCAAUAAGUCUGUUUACCCUUGGAAGCUGCCUCAGACACAAACGUACUGCCCCGUUUGGUUGGAAAAAGAUCUAGCCGCCAAAAGAUGUCUCCCCGAAAAGACGUGUGAAGCCCGUUUUGAGCUAUUUUCGGGAAGCUCUAAAUGGAGCUUUUCAUAUUUUUUCUUUGCAUCUUUGCGUGGGAAGACGCACCUUAACCAAACGGACUUCAAGCUGCUAAGAUCUUAAUGCAAAAGUUCACAUUUUCCUUUGGCUGGCAGGUCUGUGGGAAGAUCUUUCAAAAAGGACUUGCCAAACAACACCGUAGUAAGCCACUUUACCGUCUCUAUACCUUCUACCAUGACUAUUGCCUUCUUAGCUUCCCUUAUCUUAACACUGCAAGAACCUUUCAUCCUUAAUUCUUUGAACAGAAAUUCCUUUGCUUCUAUCUUCAAAUUUUUUCUACAUCUCUUAGUCUCCUUGAAGCUUCAGAUUGGUGGAUGCUACUAGUGGAGCUCAUUGGUCCCCCUCUAAAGGCCUCCAUGAACUUCUCAGCUCCUACACUUCCUUGGUU